UACGGAGGGAGCCAGCGUUGUUCGGAAUUACUGGGCGUAAAGCGCACGUAGGCGGCUUUGUAAGUUAGAGGUGAAAGCCUGGAGCUCAACUCCAGAAUUGCCUUUGAUACUGCAUGGCUUGAAUCCAGGAGAGGUGAGUGGAAUUCCGAGUGUAGAGGUGAAAUUCGUAGAUAUUCGGAAGAACACCAGUGGCGAAGGCGCUCCCUGGACUGGUAUUGACGCUGAGGUGCGAAAGCGUGGGGAGCGAACAGG
rnacentral:rRNA from 1 species